rnacentral:rRNA from 1 species
UACGUAGGGGGCUAGCGUUGUCCGGAUUUAUUGGGCGUAAAGAGCGUGUAGGCGGCCAGGUAGGUCCGUUGUGAAAACUCGAGGCUCAACCUCGAGACGUCGGCGGAAACCCCCUGGCUAGAGUCCGGAAGAGGAGAGUGGAAUUCCUGGUGUAGCGGUGAAAUGCGCAGAUAUCAGGAGGAACACCGGUGGCGAAGGCGGCGACCUGGGUCGAGACUGACGCUGAGGCGCGAAAGCGUGGGGAGCAAACAGG